rnacentral:misc_RNA from 1 species
GAUGAAGAACGUAGCGAAAUGCGAUAAGUAGUGUGAAUUGCAGAAUUCAGUGAAUCAUCGAAUCUUUGAACGCACAUUGCGCCCCUUGGUAUUCCAUGGGGCAUGCCUGUUCGAGCGUCAUUUGUACCUUCAAGCUCUGCUUGGUGUUGGGUGUUUGUCUCGCCUCUGCGUGUAGACUCGCCUCAAAAUAAUUGGCAGCCGGCGUAUUGACUUCGGAGCGCAGUACAUCUCGCGCUUUGCACUCAUAACGACGACGUCCAAAAGUACAUUUUUACACUCUUGACCUCGGAUCAGGUAGGGAUACCCGCUGAACUUAAGCAUAUCAAUAAGCGGAGGA